UAUUCUGCCCCAUGGGGAAGGAUGAGAAGCUUCGACCAAGGUUCGACUCGAGCAAAGCGAGAGAACGUUGCCGCAGGCAAUGGCCCGAAGGCGAGGCGCUUUAGCGCCGAGUAAUCCUUCCCCCACCACUG
rnacentral:sRNA from 1 species